CGCCCCCUCCGCUUGCCAGCCCGGGACAGCGCAACAGGGAGUAAUUGGUGCUGGAGAGAGUCAGUGUGCGCGUGGCGUACUGCUGCUGGAGAAGGUGGAGGCAGAAAUUAGCAAGGCAAAUAUUGGGGAGAUCAUAUCUUGUGGUCGAGAGACCCCAGCAGAUGUCAAGCAGAGCAGCAGAGAAGGAACAAGAAGGAAGGAAGGAAGAUGCCAGCUGCAGCCGAAAGGUGACUGCAGAUGUAAACUGUGGCCAUCCAGGAGAGUCCUGUAUCAAGGCGUUGCACACCGAAACAGAGUCAGGGAAAUGAUCAUGAGAUGCUGAGUACUCUUCAUCCUCACAGCAGGAAGCCAUCUCCAACAGAUAUGUUUGUAUUUUAACCUUCCAGCGAUAUUAAGCAACGAGUUAAAAACUGACUGUAGCACUGGCCUCCUGUGCGUUAAUGGCCUGACUUACUAGUGUCUGGAAUAGUGUGCUGUGAAGAUCACGACUUUAGAAUAGCUAUUAAACACCCUUGCACUGCGGCUAAAGAAAAGGGAAAAGACAUUCUAUAACUCUUAGUGCUGCCAAUGAACCACCAUAGAAAGGAAUUGGGACAAAAGAAUUUAAAUCAAACUACAAAG